rnacentral:rRNA from 1 species
GAUGAACGCUGGCGGCGUGCCUAAUACAUGCAAGUCGAGCGAACGGACGAGAAGCUUGCUUCUCUGAUGUUAGCGGCGGACGGGUGAGUAACACGUGGAUAACCUACCUAUAAGACUGGGAUAACUUCGGGAAACCGGAGCUAAUACCGGAUAAUAUUUUGAACCGCAUGGUUCAAAAGUGAAAGACGGUCUUGCUGUCACUUAUAGAUGGAUCCGCGCUGCAUUAGCUAGUUGGUAAGGUAACGGCUUACCAAGGCAACGAUGCAUAGCCGACCUGAGAGGGUGAUCGGCCACACUGGAACUGAGACACGGUCCAGACUCCUACGGGAGGCAGCAGUAGGGAAUCUUCCGNCAUGGGCGAAAGCCUGACGGAGCAACGCCGCGUGAGUGAUGAAGGUCUUCGGAUCGUAAAACUCUGUUAUUAGGAAAGACAUAUGUGNUAAGUACUGUGCACAUCUUGACGGUACCCUAUCAGAAAGCCACGGCUAACUACGUGCCAGCAGCCGGCGUAAUACGUAGGUGGCAAGGCGUAUCCCGGAAUUAUUGGGCGUUAAGCGCGCGUAGGCGGUUUUUUAGUCUGAUGUGAAAGCCCACGGCUCAACCGCUGGAGGGUCAUUGGAAACUGGAAAACUUGAGUGCAGAAGAGGAAAGUGGAAUUCCAUGUGUAGCGGUGAAAUGCGCAGAGAUAUGGAGGAACACCAGUGGCGAAGGCGACUUUCUGGUCUGUAACUGACGCUGAUGUGCGAAAGCGUGGGGAUCAAACAGGAUUAGAUACCCUGGUAGUCCACGCCGUAAACGAUGAGUGCUAAGUGUUAGGGGGUUUCCGCCCCUUAGUGCUGCAGCUAACGCAUUAAGCACUCCGCCUGGGGAGUACGACCGCAAGGUUGAAACUCAAAGGAAUUGACGGGGACCCGCACAAGCGGUGGAGCAUGUGGUUUAAUUCGAAGCAACGCGAAGAACCUUACCAAAUCUUGACAUCCUUUGACAACUCUAGAGAUAGAGCCUUCCCCUUCGGGGGACAAAGUGACAGGUGGUGCAUGGUUGUCGUCAGCUCGUGUCGUGAGAUGUUGGGUUAAGUCCCGCAACGAGCGCAACCCUUAAGCUUAGUUGCCAUCAUUAAGUUGGGCACUCUAAGUUGACUGCCGGUGACAAACCGGAGGAAGGUGGGGAUGACGUCAAAUCAUCAUGCCCCUUAUGAUUUGGGCUACACACGUGCUACAAUGGACAAUACAAAGGGCAGCGAAACCGCGAGGUCAAGCAAAUCCCAUAAAGUUGUUCUCAGUUCGGAUUGUAGUCUGCAACUCGACUACAUGAAGCUGGAAUCGCUAGUAAUCGUAGAUCAGCAUGCUACGGUGAAUACGUUCCCGGGUCU